UUGGAGGGCAAGUCUGGUGCCAGCAGCCGCGGUAAUUCCAGCUCCAAUAGCGUAUAUUAAAGUUGUUGCAGUUAAAAAGCUCGUAGUUGAAUUUCGGGAUCAAUAAAUCGGUCGUGCCUUUGGUACGUACUGGUAUCAUUGAUUUCUCCUUUCUGACGAAUCAUGAUGUCAUUAAUUUGGUGUUAUGAGGAGUUAGGACUGUUACUUUGAAAAAAUUAGAGUGUUUAAAGCAGGCAUUAGCUUGAAUACAUUAGCAUGGAAUAAUGAAAUAGGACGUUUGACCCUAUUUUGUUGGUUUCUAGGAUCGACGUAAUGAUUAAUAGGGAUAGUUGGGGGCAUUAGUAUUCAAUUGUCAGAGGUGAAAUUCUUGGAUUUAUUGAAGACUAACUACUGCGAAAGCAUUUGCCAAGGAUGUUUUCAUUAAUCAAGAACGAAAGUUAGGGGAUCGAAGACGAUCAGAUACCGUCGUAGUCUUAACCAUAAACUAUGCCGACUAGGGAUCGGAUGAUGUUAAUUUUAUAAUGACUCAUUCGGCGCCUUACGGGAAAC
rnacentral:rRNA from 1 species